AUUGAACGCUGGCGGCAGGCUUAACACAUGCAAGUCGAGCGGGGGAAGGUAGCUUGCUACCGGACCUAGCGGCGGACGAGUGAGUAAUGCUUAGGAAUCUGCCUAUUAGUGGGGGACAACAUCUCGAAAGGGAUGCUAAUACCGCAUACGUCCUACGGGAGAAAGCAGGGGAUCUUCGGACCUUGCGCUAAUAGAUGAGCCUAAGUCGGAUUAGCUAGUUGGUGGGGUAAAGGCCUACCAAGGCGACGAUCUGUAGCGGGUCUGAGAGGAUGAUCCGCCACACUGGGACUGAGACACGGCCCAGACUCCUACGGGAGGCAGCAGUGGGGAAUAUUGGACAAUGGGGGGAACCCCGAUCCAGCCAUGCCGCGUGUGUGAAGAAGGCCUUAUGGUUGUAAAGCACUUUAAGCGAGGAGGAGGCUACUCUAGUUAAUACCUAGGGAUAGUGGACGUUACUCGCAGAAUAAGCACCGGCUAACUCUGUGCCAGCAGCCGCCGCCGUAA
rnacentral:rRNA from 1 species